GCCUGGGUGGCUCAGUCGGUUGAGCGUCCGACUUCAGCUCAGGUCAUGAUCUCAUGGUUCGUGGGUUCGAGCCCUGUGUCAGGCU
rnacentral:tRNA from 1 species